UUUUUUCCAUGUUUGUUUGCUUUUUCUUCCCCAGAAGUUAGAUAAAUUCUCGUCUGUGCGGCUGGCCGGUGCCUGUGCUCCUCAGGAUCCUGUCGGGGCUUCAUGCGGAACGAUUCCAGAGGUGGUGACUGCGGGGAAGAAGUUACCAUUUUCAAACAUAUGACGGCUGACAGCGUCAUCACUAAAAAGGCUCUAAAUGAAAUAGAUGCUUAUCUUGGGAAUCCCUGAGAAGCUGGAGCUGAACCAACAUGCGGUGCGGAUUCAGGAUACACCUUUCUGCCUGCUCCAGUGAGGCAUCCAGCCAGCCACAUUAAAGGGAGCUCGUUCCGAUUUCCUACUAAUAGGGCUACUUGCGUGGAUUUUAAUUUUUAAAUAGGAAUAGUCUUCCGCUGCCUGUCAAAGAGAGGGGUUGGGAGCGGAGGUACGAGAUCGCUUAUUUUCAGAAAUGGAGAUACUGAGAUCUGUCUACGGUUUUUGUCACAAACGAUGUUUUCAUAGCACGGGGCUAAACUGCGCUCUUAGUUAUUGAGUGCAAAUCUGUCGAUUUAAAUGGAGUUCAUUGCAAGUGGGAGUGGGAUUUAGCCAUAAUUUUCCGCUGCUGUCUACUCACUGCAGUCUGAAGAAAGCAACAUAUGUAUAAUGGUAGCUGAGAUGCGGGAGAGGUAGAAGCUUUCUACCAAUGAGAACCACAUUAAAUAAUUAAUUCCCAAUUGCCUUUCUACAUUAGUGCUUUCAGCUAAAAAAGCUGGUCGGCUUUGUAAGGCCCCAGGCAAUGAAACAUUUGGUGCAUUGUCAGUCCAAAAGUGGAGGUAAUAGAUAUCCAGGGCGGGCUGGAAAAGUGCUACUCUCCAUCCUGCCAUUUGCAUAUUCCAGCUGCGCAGCCUCAUUCUUCAUCCCCUCCUUUGCCUUACCUGAGGUUGACGGGACAGCACCUCUUCCGAGGUGGCUGCUGAGGAAGCCAAAAGUGUAUUUAUUUUACUGAAACCAGUAAAUGCACUUCAUGUUUGAGUCUAAAAACGGAGUAUACAAAAGUUGGUCUCUCUUUUAUCAGCAGACCAAAUCUGAUGGGUUAAUAAGGAAAGGAAUGAAUUUCCCCUGCCUUUCCCAUUUGCUCCCCUUACCCCAUCUGCAGGUCCCCCAAGCUCAGCCUGUCAUCUCAGGUCAGGUUGGGAUCUUUCGGGCUCGUACAUCAUUCGCAAUAAAGAUCUUGCCAUGAGAAAUGAGUUAACAAGCCUUUUGAUGUGCAA